rnacentral:rRNA from 2 species
GGGGGCACGGGGGGAACGCGAAGAACCUUACCAGGUCUUGACAUACUAUGCAAAUCUAAGAGAUUAGACGUUCCCUUCGGGGACAUGGAUACAGGUGGUGCAUGGUUGUCGUCAGCUCGUGUCGUGAGAUGUUGGGUUAAGUCCCGCAACGAGCGCAACCCUUAUUAUCAGUUGCCAGCAUUAAGUUGGGCACUCUGGUGAGACUGCCGGUGACAAACCGGAGGAAGGUGGGGAUGACGUCAAAUCAUCAUGCCCCUUAUGACCUGGGCUACACACGUGCUACAAUGGAUGGUACAACGAGUUGCGAACUCGCGAGAGUAAGCUAAUCUCUUAAAGCCAUUCUCAGUUCGGAUUGUAGGCUGCAACUCGCCUACAUGAAGUCGGAAUCGCUAGUAAUCGCGGAUCAGCAUGCC